GUCCUUUUUGGGUGAUUUAGUGGUUAGGAUUUUGCCCCUCAAUCAGAAGGUUCCAGGUUUAAACCCUGGAUAGGAUC